UACGAAGGGGGCUAGCGUUGCUCGGAAUUACUGGGCGUAAAGGGCUCGUAGGCGGCCAACUAAGUCAGACGUGAAAUCCCCAGGCUCAACCUGGGAACUGCGUCUGAUACUGGAUGGCUUGAAUUCGGGAGAGGGAUGCAGAAUUCCAGGUGUAGCGGUGAAAUGCGUAGAUAUCUGGAGGAAUACCGGUGGCGAAGGCGGCAUCCUGGACCGACAUUGACGCUGAUGAGCGAAAGCUAGGGGAGCAAACGGG
rnacentral:rRNA from 1 species